rnacentral:tRNA from 1 species
GUUGGAGUGGCAGAGCCCGGUAAUUGCUAAAGAGCUAAGUCCUUUCCACAGAGGUUCAAGUCCUCUCUUCAACU